UCCCAGGGUAAUCUCUGCUAAGGUGGCUGGAGGGGUACCUCCUAGACCAUUGCAGUGAAAGGCACCACCACAGUCUCCUGUGGCGCAGUGGCCACGGCCAGAGGCGUCAAAUAUGCAGCCAUGGCGACCCCAGAAGCGGCCGGACCAGAGUGGUGGCAGUUUUAGAGAGUAGGCCUUGUUGGGUGGGAGCCUGAAGCCACCUCUAGCUAAGAGGGGCUUUCCUGCACUUGGUUGAAUACCAGGCCACACUGGGUGGCUGCAGUGUUAUAGUUGCUGAUGAGACUUCCACGGUAAUGUGGGAGAAAAUGAGGGUGGAGAGCAAGAGAAUGAGCAGAGAUCUAAGUAUCAUUGCCAUGGCUAUGUAGCUGGGAAGUGAGAGAAUAGUUAGUGGAGACCACUAAGUGUAGCAGAGGAUAACAGAGAAGAAAGAGUCCUCUCUCUCUCUCAUACACACACACACCCAGAGCUUUC
rnacentral:misc_RNA from 1 species